UACCCAGACCUUCCCAACAGAUGACUGUAGGGGCGUGCAUGAGCAGCUGCUGAAGGCCAUUUCCUCUUAAGCAAGAUGGACUGGUAUUGGAGCCACAUCGCAGCAGCUUGAGGAUGACUGUGUGGAGAGGUCAAGAGUCACUGGAGGCCAUAUUGAGGGGCUGUAUGAUGAAGGACUUUGCCACCCUAACCAACAAAUCCAGAAUAGAAAACUGAAAAAUAAGGGGAAAGAUCAAAAAGUUGAAGACUCUUUUAUUGCUGUUUUCUGGCUGGUGUUUGAUUCUUUUCAAGUCAUUGUUAUGAGGAAGAAUAUGUUUGCAGAAAAAACUUUGGCACUUCAUCUGAGUUCUCACAUUUCCCUCUGUGAACUCCACACCUCUGAUGAAGAACCAAACAGGAAUGGGAGCAGCUGCUCUGUAUGGAGGAGGAGUAGUUCUUAUCCUACAGUCCCAAGUGGUGUGAAGGUGGAACUGAAGGCAGGACUCUACUGGCAUUGAUAAACUUGAUAAAUUCUACAGACAAGAGAACUAAAAACCAGGAUAGAUAUCUACUUUGUGAAUUGUUCUGAAUUAUCAGCAUCUUUUUAUUCUUGAAUUACAGCAGACUUUCAGAUUUCAAGAUUUCACCAAGAGCAACAUCUUUGAAAAUCUAUUACUUUAGAUCUCAGCUUUUUCAUUAUUAUCUCUAAAUGUACAUUUUGCAUCAUUUGCUUUAUUACUAUGGAAAAUUUACUAUGCUCCAUUUCCAUUUCUGAUGCUCGUUUUUACUGAAAGCAAUGUGUUCCCAUGAAAAUAAUGUAAUUUGACACAUUUUCUAACAGAAGGAUGUGUUUUCUUAGAAGAUCUUUAACAAGCUUUAGAUGUCAGCAUAAAUGUAAUUAAUCAAAAAAGCAAUCUAAAGGAUGGCUAUUUGUAAUGCCAGUAAGGCUACUAAAUGGCAUGUCUGCUGCAGUUAUGAUCAAACAGAACAAUAACAAUAAAUCUAUGACUCUAUGAAUAACACUCAAAAUAACAGGGACAGUUACUUGUACAAAAUUGAAACCCAUGGAUUUUCCAUGUUUAAUCUGACAGGAUCCAGAGCACAUUGGAAGAAUUUCAAAUAGCUGUCUUUUGCAAAGAAUUCAGUUUAUGUGCAUUAAAAUUUUAGAAAAUAUUCCAAAGGAGAGGAAUUCCUAUCCUUUUGUUGCCUUAUUGCCCAGGAAUACAGCUCUGCCAGGUGUGGUUUGGAAAACAGGCAAUCAGAAGUUUUCAGAGAAGUGCUUCUAUGCUUGCAUUGGCCUGGCAAGCAUGGGUAUGCCAAAUCCAGAAUCUCAGAGAACUGCAAGCUGCUUGGCUGCGAAUUAGCUUUGAUAUGAAAACACUGCUUGUAGAAACUUGAAGCUUAUAUCAGUUUCAAUUUUGUGGGUGCACGGCUUACUAGCUGCAUCUUCUAACAGCAAUGCACAUUAAUGAAGCCUGUAUUUUUCUGCUCAUAAAUCAGUAAGAAUGGAAACGAACAGAUGGAUUGACUUUUCACAGGCAUCCCCAGACAAGAUGCAGGAGUGCACCAAUUCUCUUCUCUGUGAAACACAGAAAAAUCAUUUAUGCUAAGACCUUGUCAUCUAAACAUCAUUCCAUGCUUUGUUAAUUUCUGAGCACCUCUGCUGUAUUUUUUCUAUUUUUUCCUUCUCUUAUGCAUUGCUAACUAAUUAGAGUAGGACCUUUUAUCCACGUAUAGCAGUGAACAAUUUCCUCAUUCUUCAGCAAUGAUUAUAUCAUGUUUAUUACAAGUUUAAUUUAUUUUCUGUUUGCUAAGGAUGAGCAUCAGGGAAGAUAAUGACAGUGUGAUGUCAGACGUUCAUAGGAAAUACACCUUACAUUUUGAAAAUAUGUAAAAAUAGAGAAAUAAUACUGAAAACGCAUAAAUAAAGAACACAACAUCUUUUUCCCAUUGCUCUUAAAAAUGUGUUACAAACCAGUUGAGAAACCUGCUCAAAAGCAGAGAGUUUCUUGAGUAAUUCCUGAGUCUGUAUAGAAGGAGAUGUGUGGAUUUCUUCAGGAAGCCUGGGUACAGACAUACAGACAAGGGUGAGUGGAUCCAUCUAGCUCCAUGUCUUGCCUGGUGAGGACCAGGGAAGGAUCUUUAACGAUGUCAGAUCUAAUUAUUUUCCAAGCUGGACAGUCCUUGUGUCCUUUGUCUUCUCCACAUACAAUAAUAAUCCAUCCUGCUCAUUCUCUAGGGCUGCAGAGCAGUCUGUGAGAUGGUUGGCAUCACCACUUGCUGUACUGGAGGCACCAGACAUGGACAUUAAGCUCAGUGAAAAGAAACAGUGCAUCAGCAUUAGGAACAAUAAACAUAAAUCAGAAAGGUGUGGAGCGACCUCAAUGGAGAACCAGAGGAGAAUUAGAAGGAUUGAUUAAUACAAAAAUGAUCUAUUUGGGUUAGAAGAUCAAAAUACAAAGGAUAUGAAGUGGAGAAGAUGGAUUGUCUAUGUCAAUCGAAACAAGGUCAGUUCUUUUCUUAUGUGUCAUUUCAGAGGGAACAAGCUUGCAGUGCAGAAUUCUCAGAGUUUAUUCACCAUUGUAUUGUGGUGUGGGGAAAAAGCCUCAGAGAUAUUCAAACUGCAGGAACCAAUGUUGAUUCCUGGUUUUCAUUCAAGCUGUUUCAGCCAAGUAUACUGCAAAAUCUGUGAUAACAAUACAAACUGCCUUCUUUAUUUUUAACAAAGAUAGUAGGACAAUUUUAAGUAAAUUUUCCUUCUACGUAAUGCAUUUCUUUAGGGAUUAACAAUGUUUUUGCUUCGGUAGGACAUUUAUUCCCCAGUGAUGGACCAGUUUGAUCAUUAGAAUAAGCUGCCACUAAGGUGUUAUCUUGUUCUCUGUCAUUUAUUCAAGGUUGCUGAAAGAGGACUAAACCUCUUCUGAAUAUUAAGUAUUCAGAUAUUCUUUUUUACUACUUUCAAAGUAAGGAAA